rnacentral:rRNA from 1 species
CGCGUAGGCGGUUUGUUAAGUCAGCUGUGAAAGCCCCGGGCUCAACCUGGGAAUUGCAGUUGAUACUGAUCGACUAGAGUACGAGAGAGGGAGGUAGAAUUCCACGUGUAGCGGUGAAAUGCGUAGAUAUGUGGAGGAAUACCGGUGGCGAAGGCGGCCUCCUGGCUCGAUACUGACGCUGAGGUGCGAAAGCGUGGGGAGCAAACA